AUGUGGAAAAACUGCAUCAAGCAAAAAUCACAAAGCAGGUGAGUACUCUGAACUUUAAUAGGCUGUUAUUUUCAAAAGAUAUUUAUUUUAGAUCUUGAGCUUAAUGUAGUUAUUUUAUGAUCUUAGCACAAAACAUGACUGAGAGGAGAAAAAACAGGAAUGAACUCGAGUCAGAAUAAAAAUAAAAGCUGCUGAUUUGUUAUUUUUCAAAGUUAUUAGGCU